UCAGGGCAUGGUGGCGCAUGCCUGUAAUCCCAGUGGCUCAGAAGGCUGAGGCAGGAGGAUCGUGAGUUCAAAGCCAGCCUCAGCAAAAAUCGAGGUGCUAAGCAACUCAGUGAGACCCUGUCUCUA
rnacentral:sRNA from 1 species